UACGUAGGCAGCAAGCGUUGUUCGGAAUUACUGGGCGUAAAGAGUGUGUAGGCGGUGCUCCAAGUCUGGUGUGAAAUCUCCCGGCUCAACUGGGAGGGUGCAUUAGAAACUGGAAUGCUAGAGGAUGGGAGAGGUAAGCGGAAUUCCUGGUGUAGCGGUGAAAUGCGUAGAUAUCAGGAGGAACACCUGUGGUGUAGACAGCUUACUGGACCAUUUCUGACGCUGAGACACGAAAGCAUGGGUAGCAAACAGG
rnacentral:rRNA from 1 species